GCUUACAAUCCGUCAGAGCCUCUUUUGUGGGGUGAUGGCGUGCCUUUUGAAGAAUGAGCCUGCGAGUCAGCGGCAUGUCGCGAGGUUAACCCGUGUGGGGUAGUCGUAGCGAAAGCGAAUCCUAACGAGGGUGUGUUAGUGGCAUGUUCUGGACCCGAAGCGGGGUGAUCUACCCAUGGCCAGUGUGAAGCAGCAGUAAGAUGCUGUGGAGGCGCGAACCCACUUAGGUUAAAAACUGAGGGGAUGAGCUGUGGGUAGGGGUGAAAGGCCAAUCAAACUCCGUGAUAGCUGGUUCUCCCCGAAAUGCAUUUAGGUGCAGCGUCACGUGUUUCUUCCCGGAGGUAGAGCUACUGGAUGGACGAUGGGCCCUACAAGGUUACUGACUUCAGCCAAACUCCGAAUGCCGGGAAGUGAGAGCGUGGCAGUGAGACUGUGGGGGAUAAGCUUCAUAGUCGAGAGGGAAACAGCCCAGACCAUCAACUAAGGCCCCUAAGCGUGU
rnacentral:rRNA from 1 species